UACGUAGGGGGCAAGCGUUGUCCGGAUUUAUUGGGCGUAAAGAGCGUGUAGGCGGCCUGAAAGGUCAGCUGUGAAAACUCGAGGCUCAACCUCGGGUCUGCAGUCGAUACGGGCGGACUGGAGUUCGGCAGGGGAGACUGGAAUUCCUGGUGUAGCGGUGAAAUGCGCAGAUAUCAGGAGGAACACCUGUGGCGAAAGCGGCUCACUGGACCAUAACUGACGCUGAUGCACGAAAGCUAGGGGAGCAAACAGG
rnacentral:rRNA from 1 species